rnacentral:tRNA from 1 species
AUUUAUAUAGUUUAAAAUUAAAACACUUCAUUUUCAAUGAAGAAAUGAUAAAUAAUCUAUAAAUA